rnacentral:rRNA from 1 species
GAUGAACGCUGGCGGCGUGCCUAAUACAUGCCAGUCGAGCGAACGGACGAGAAGCUUGCUUCUCUGAUGUUAGCGGCGGACGGGUGAGUAACACGUGGAUAACCUACCUAUAAGACUGGGAUAACUUCGGGAAACCGGAGCUAAUACCGGAUAAUAUUUUGAACCGCAUGGUUCAAAAGUGAAAGACGGUCUUGCUGUCACUUAUAGAUGGAUCCGCGCUGCAUUAGCUAGUUGGUAAGGUCACGGCUUACCAAGGCAACGAUGCAUAGCCGACCUGAGAGGGUGAUCGGCCACACUAGAACUGGGACACGGUCCAGACUCCUACGGGAGGCAGCAGUAGGGAAUCUUCCGCAAUGGGCGAAAGCCUGACGGAGCAACGCCGCGUGAGUGAUGAAGGUCUUCGGAUCGUAAAACUCUGUUAUUAGGGAAGAACAUAUGUGUAAGUAACUGUGCACAUCCUGACGGUACCUAAUCAGAAAGCCACGGCUAACUACGUG